UACAGGGGGGGCAAGCGUUGUUCGGAAUUACUGGGCGUAAAGGGCUCGUAGGCGGCCAACUAAGUCAGACGUGAAAUCCCCAGGCUCAACCUGGGAACUGCGUCUGAUACUGGAUGGCUUGAAUUCGGGAGAGGGAUGCAGAAUUCCAGGUGUAGCGGUGAAAUGCGUAGAUAUCUGGAGGAAUACCGGUGGCGAAGGCGGCAUCCUGGACCGACAUUGACGCUGAUGAGCGAAAGCUAGGGGAGCAAACGGG
rnacentral:rRNA from 1 species